rnacentral:rRNA from 1 species
UACGUAGGGUGCAAGCGUUGUUCGGAAUCACUGGGCGUAAAGGGAGCGUAGGCGGGAUCGUAAGUUAGGAGUUUAAUGCAUGGGCUUAACCCAUGACUUGCUUUUAAUACUGCGGUUCUUGAGUAUGGGAGAGGGCGAUGGAAUUCCAGGUGUAGCGGUGGAAUGCGUAGAUAUCUGGAAGAACACCAGUAGCGAAGGCGGUCGCCUGGCCUAAUACUGACGCUGAGGCUCGAAAGCUAGGGGAGCAAACAGG